AAGAAUAAGGCUUCCAGUGUAGAUGGCUUCGGACCGGAUGUGUUCUGCGACAAUUGGAAAUGCAUAUGUAGAAUUUGAUAAAGUUUAAUGGAGUACUACAUGCUGCAUCAUAACUACAUAUUCUGAUAGAGUUUACAAACAUUUAAAAACCAGUGGUUAUCAUGGAUGACAAUCCUAUAAUUCCUAUGCACAGAUCCUUCUUCGAAUAUUUUUCUUUCUUUCUUCUUUCUUUCUAUAAUUUUGGAUUACUAAGCAAUUCCUCACUCAUUUGAAGUUUAUGCAAAAGACUAACAGAACCCAGUACUCCUACCUAACAGACAUCACUGAUACGAAGCAAUUCGCACUUCCAAAAUACUGGAGAUCAAGUUUCUAAUGUCACGUUUUCAAUAAUAACAACUAACCAUCGAACUAAGUUCAAUAUUUUCCAAUUCAGUAUCUCAACAUCCUCAGAAACUUAACAGAUUUUCUCACAUAAAUAACAAUAAACCAUAAUUUUGUCAGUUUCUUUCAAUAGCUUUCAAUUAAUCAAUAAAGCGAUUAAACCUAAUGAUUAAAACAAUCCACGAAGAAUUUUUCCAACUCCUUCUAUUCUUUAGGUUUCACAGAAACCAAACAGAGUUCCGAUUAAAAAACCUAGCGUGAAUUGUACCUGAGAUAUUAACCAGCUCUGUCCAUCCGCUUGGCGAAGUCGGAGGAGCUCUCGGUGGAAUCCACCAUUGAAGCACGAACUCCAACACCGUAAAACUUCGAUCCGUGGCGUAGAGAUUCUCCAGCAAUUGAGAGUCGUCUAGGCGAUACGAAGAUGCUUUU
rnacentral:lncRNA from 1 species